CUUUACUAUCUCACGCUUGGUUCUUUCUUAUCGAUUCUUGUUGGGACUCGCGUGUCUCGCUUGAGUCUUGUUUAUUUCUUUGAUUUCGUUGCUGUUACUACCUCUACCAUCACUGGUUGGUGUGUAAUCGCCUCCUUUCUCUUUAGCUCCAUUGCUGGAGCUGGAUAUAUGCUUUACUUGAUUGAGAGGGCAAAGAAGUGUUUAGAUUUUUCUGCAACCCUCUACGUCAUCCAUCUUUUUAUAUGCAUUAUUUAUGGAGGUUGGCCUUCCUCAAUUACAUGGUGGAUUGUGAAUGGUACUGGACUUGCAGUGAUGGCUUUGCUGGGCGAAUAUCUGUGCAUUAGACGUGAACUUCGAGAGAUUCCAAUCACGCGAUACCGAUCAAAUGUUUGAUUGACAAGGAAAACUCCAUAGGAAGGAACAGACUUGGUUCUGGACCUGUACUUUUUGCUUACGGAAAAGUUUGAAGGAGCUAUUGGAUGAAGCUUGUGAGAUAUGAAAUCCAAACUAUGAUAGGAUGAGUAUUUUUAGUCUACUGAUUCUAUUGGCUGUGCUGAAGGUAAUGAUAUGGAAUGGCCACAGAAAAUGGAGAUGGUUGGUCAAUUAUGGGGUGAUAGAGCAUGUGAGACUAGGAAACCCUCAGUGUACAAUUGUGGGUGGUUUCUGGGGAAGAUGCUUGUUGUUGUUCUGAUAUUAUUUUCUGGUUCAGUACCUUAUUUUAAUAUGAAUUUGGAUGAGUUUCCAUGAACUGAGAAAAUGUUGUUCCUCGUGUCUUUAGACUUUUUAGGGCUGG
rnacentral:misc_RNA from 1 species